CCUACGGGUGGCAGCAGUGAGGAAUAUUGGUCAAUGGGCGUAAGCCUGAACCAGCCAAGUCGCGUGAGGGAUGAAGGUCCUAUGGAUCGUAAACUUCUUUUAUAAGGGAAUAAAGUGUGGCACGUGUCCUUUUUUGUAUGUACCGUAUGAAUAAGGACCGGCUAAUUCCGUGCCAGCAGCCGCGGUAAUACGGAGGAUACGGGCGUUAUCCGGAUUUAUUGGGUUUAAAGGGUGCGUAGGCGGCAUGUUAAGCUAGCGGUGAAAGUCUGUGGCUCAACCAUAGAAUUGCGGUUGAAACUGGAUUGUUUGAGUGCGCGAGAGGAAAGCGGAAUUCGAGGUGUAGCGGUGAAAUGCUUAGAUAUCACGAAGAACCCCGAUUGCGAAGGCAGCAUGCGGCGGCGUGACUGACGCUGAUGCACGAAAGCGUGGGGAUCAAACAGGAUUAGAUACCCUGGUAGUC
rnacentral:rRNA from 1 species